GGUCGGGGACAACCACUGGAAACGGUGGCUAAUACCGGAUGUGCCGAGAGGUAAAAGGCUUGCUGCCUGAAGAUGAGCUCGCGACUGAUUAGCUAGUUGGUAGUGUAAGGGACUACCAAGGCGACGAUCAGUAGCUGGUCUGAGAGGAUGAUCAGCCACACUGGGACUGAGACACGGCCCAGACUCCUACGGGAGGCAGCAGUGGGGAAUUUUCCGCAAUGGGCGAAAGCCUGACGGAGCAAUACCGCGUGAGGGAGGAAGGCUCUUGGGUUGUAAACCUCUUUUCUCAAGGAAUAAGUUUUGAAGGUACUUGAGGAAUAAGCAUCGGCUAACUCCGUGCCAGCAGCCGCGGUAAUACGGAGGAUGCAAGCGUUAUCCGGAAUGAUUGGGCGUAAAGAGUCCGUAGGUGGUUGUGAAAGUCUGCUGUUAAAGAGCAAGGCUCAACCUUGUAAAGGCAGUGGAAACUACACAGCUAGAGUGCGUUCGGGGCAGAAGGAAUUCCUGGUGUAGCGGUGAAAUGCGUAGAGAUCAGGAAGAACACCGGUGGCGAAAGCGUUCCUGCUAGGCCGCAACUGACACUGAGGGACGAAAGCUGAUU
rnacentral:rRNA from 1 species